UGGGGAAUAUUGCACAAUGGGCGCAAGCCUGAUGCAGCCAUGCCGCGUGUAUGAAGAAGGCCUUCGGGUUGUAAAGCACUUUCAGCGGGGAGGAAGGCGGUGAGGUUAAUAACCUCACCGAUUGACGUUACCCGCAGAAGAAGCACCGGCUAACUCCGUGCCAGCAGCCGCGGUAAUACGGAGGGUGCAAGCGUUAAUCGGAAUUACUGGGCGUAAAGCGCACGCAGGCGGUCUGUCAAGUCGGAUGUGAAAUCCCCGGGCUCAACCUGGGAACUGCAUUCGAAACUGGCAGGCUAGAGUCUUGUAGAGGGGGGUAGAAUUCCAGGUGUAGCGGUGAAAUGCGUAGAGAUCUGGAGGAAUACCGGUGGCGAAGGCGGCUCUCUGGUCUGUAACUGACGCUGAGGCUCGAAAGCGUGGGGAGCAAACAGG
rnacentral:rRNA from 1 species